rnacentral:misc_RNA from 1 species
GAUGAAGAACGCAGCGAAAUGCGAUAAGUAGUGUGAAUUGCAGAAUUCAGUGAAUCAUCGAAUCUUUGAACGCACAUUGCGCCCACUGGUAUUCCGGGGGGCAUGCCUGUCCGAGCGUCAUUGCCGCCCUCAAGCACGGCUUGUGUGUUGGGCCCCCGCCCCCCGGCUUCGGGGGGCGGGCCCGAAAGGCAGCGGCGGCACCGCGUCCGGUCCUCGAGCGUAUGGGGCUUCGUCACCCGCUCUGUAGGCCCGGCCGGCGCCCGCCGGCGACCCCAAUCAAUCUUUCCAGGUUGACCUCGGAUCAGGUAGGGAUACCCGCUGAACUUAAGCAUAUCAAUAAGCGGAGGA